AAGAACAAACAAACAAAUAAAGCUUUUAAAACAGCGUGUAUGCGGCAUACAAUUGAGGAAUGUCAGAUCAAAAUUUAAAAAAAAACAUUUCGCAGAAAUUGAAUUACAAUUUUCGACACUUUUUGCACUGCAAUUUAUACAGGUAUUUUCCAGCGGAACUGAACUCUUCGAAUAUGGGAAAAAUGUGCAGCCGCCCAAAACCAACCAGAACAGGUCUGUUUGGAGGAAAGGUGAAAAACAAAUGCAAUGCAUUCUGAUAUGCGUGUGUAAAAAGGAUUUAUGAGCUUAGUCGGUUGCAGCUACUUUCACGGAACAGCAAAAGUGUCAGGAUGAGACAGCCGCAGUACAAUCAACAUUUUUAUGCAAUUUUAAUCAAGGCCGGAGCGUAAACAUUGUCAAAAUGUUUGCUUAGAUGUCAGGUUUACCUGUUGUUUAUGUAGACAACAUUCAAAACGCCACUUCGUCUUGGAGUCACUAUGGUACAUUGAACCUAUGCAAGUUGGAAUAUCCAAGACCUUGAGAAGAAUUAAAAUAGCUCGUUCUCAUAGA